rnacentral:rRNA from 1 species
GUCUAAGGCCAUACCACCCUGAGCACGCCAAGUCUCCUCUGAUCACAGAUGCUAAGCAGUAUUGGGCUUGGUUAGUACUUGGAUAGGAGAAAUAAGUAAGAUUUAGUAU